rnacentral:lncRNA from 1 species
UUCUGCAGAUGAUGGCAACCUCUAUACCUUCAUGUGGUGUAUGUGAAUAUCGACAGAUCUACAAAUUAGCCUCCAUAUGGUGUUCGGAUUGCGACGAAGGCCUCUGUCUUGAUUGCAAUGAGCAUCAUGGGAUUUCCAAAGCAACUAGAAAGCACGGUACUAUACCGAUAUCAGAUUAUCAAACACUGCCUGAUUAUAUUAAGAAUAUUAAGCAGAACACGCUGGUGUCCAUUGAGAAUAUACAAACAGAAUUACAACAAACUAUAAACACCAUAGCAGACGCCAGAGGAUGUUGCUUAUUGCCUGAUUGUAGGAUGGUAUUUACCUAUCCUACUAUAAACAAAGUAUCUGUUGUUAAACAAGAUGGAUCUGUUGAUUUUUCUAUGAGUGUAACAGCAGCAUAUGGUAUAGCAUACAACGAUACAGAUACCACUUUGGCUAUAUCAUCCUGUUGGAAUGAUAUUGGCAAUCAAAUAACAAUAAUUGAGUUAACGAAACAAAAAGUAAAGAAAACAAUUACUCCUAUUGGACAAACCAUGGGAAUAGCAGCAACCUAUAAAACACUGGUUUAUCACAUAUACAACAACUCAAUUCGGACCAUGGACCUUACCGACGAAUCAACACGUGAUUUAAAUACUGAGAACAUGGACACGGAAAUUAACAUAGCAGUAUCUGGGCACAAACUUUGUUAUUGCAGUUGUAUGUAUCAUACAGUAGUGUGUUGCGAUCUGAACGGCACAAAUCAAUGGUCAUUCAAGGAUGCAAAUCUUUUAAAGCAUCCAUAUGGGAUAUCUGUUGACAAUGAUGGUAAUGUGUAUGUUAUAGGCCAUGGAACGCAGAACGUCGUAGUUAUCACACACGAUGGACAAAAAUAUAGGGAACUCCUAUCAUGGAAAGAUGGUUUAACAUUGCCAUAUGCAAUUAACUUUGGACGUGCAACUAACCAUUUAUUAGUUGCAGCUAAUAACUGUAAAGUAUAUCUGUACAAGGUAUCCAGUGUUUAAGUAAAUAAACAC